UGCAGCCCUUUGAGUUUUGUCAUCGCUUUCUUUCAGAUGCAGACGGAUUAAAUCCGUGGCAGAGCACCCCAUGCAGGCUGAUGGGGUUCCUGCAGGAAGGUCGGUUACCGUCUGGUUUUGCUGAGAAGGUGUAAAUGGUGGCUGUGUUACAGCAUUGUUCUUUGUCUUUAUUUUUAGGAGGUAAACCAGAUACCAGCAGUCAAGGUCGAUGGAGCGAGGCGGUCCACUUGUUAUUAUGCCGAACCCCCUCGCCGACUGGCAGAUGGACCUGGCCCGUUGCCCUUGUGAGCCCUCUGGAACUAUUACGGGACUCUGUGAUGAACUCUUUCCCUUUUCCCCUCGAAGGUGCUUUCUGGGCGGCGUUCGUCAACGGCCGAGGAGUUGCAGUAUACCCCGCAAUGACGGCGUCGGCCUCGGAGCACAGCCAAAGUGUGUGGCCCGAGGACCCCGUCUUUCUUAGGAGACAAGCCGAGUGAGAGACAACGUCCUGGCGGUGGCAGGAGCUUCCUGGAGCGCGGGGCGGCCUUCCUUUGCGCCCGAGGAGGAUUCACGUCCCUGGAUCUCCGAGACAUAAGUCGAGGGGAUGAAAGCGGGGUGUCGGGUCGGGGCUAGCCGGGCGGGAUUUUUGAAUGAGAUUUGGAGGCGGGGAUGUCCAAGAAGGGGCCCCUAAGGCCCCAUAAAGGGAAAGUCUCACUUUUGAUCAGAAUGCCAAGGUGCACAGGGCAGAGCAGUCCCGGUGUGUGUCACUUGUCUAUUGUGCGUUCUGUAGCUUUUGAGCAUCUCGUGUUGCGGGUCUUUUGUCUCUAGGCCUUUGAGUUGCUUCUGGGAAACGCUGGGCAUUAUUCUCAGCAUCUCCGCUCUUAGCAUUCUUUGGCCCGGCGCUGAUACCCUCGAUCCUUUGACUUGCGAGCUCAGAGGCACAUCGGAAUUGUGUCUCUCUUUAGAAACAUCAAGUCGGAUGUCCUUUCUGAUCUUGUUCUGAGCUGUACUGACAGCUGUGCACUGCAACGAUCCAUUAUAGGGGAUGAGGACUUGUAAGAAUCCAAAGAUAGCUAGAGGAUUCUACCCGUACGAUUCUCGGGCAUCUGUCUUUGCGGUUCUCGGAAUAAGUCCUUCUCUUAGCAUCUUCUUCCACCAGGGUUCUUAGAGCCUCGUCGGCUCACCAUCAGUCUGGCCUAAGUCAUCUAAUUCCUCAUUCUCUCGGUCCCUGCCAUCAUCUUGCCAAGAAUUUCCUCUCCUCUUUGUGUCCCCUCGUUUGUCAUGUCCUGAGUCACGGGUGCCUGCAUGUAUUUGGCCCAGAGCUGCUCUGCCCUGCUGCACAGUUUGGCGUAUGGGUGUAAUAGGACAAGUCUCGGGGACUUGAAAUUUGUGAUGUAGGGUGUAGCUGGGACGCUAGAUGGUAUUUCUGGAUUGACACAGAAGGGCUGGAGCUGUUAAGCUCUCAUGCAACACUUUGACUUUUGUCAUAACCUUGUUUCAGAUGCGGACGGAUUAAAUCCGUGGCAGAGUGCCCCAUACCAGCUGAGGAGGUUCCUGCAGGAAGGAGGUAAAGCCAGAUAUCAGUGGUCGAGGUUGAUGGAGCAAGGUGCUGCCGCUGCCCUGGACGUGCCAAGGAACAGAGGCGAACAGAUGAGUCGGCAUGUAGGUGGGGCAACUAAUAAGCGAGCGGUAUGCGGCGGCUCGCUGAGCGUGUACAUUUUCCUAUUGCAGGUAUCCUCCGGGAAAUCCCCAGAGUCAAAUGAAGAUUUGAGGUGAGCUGGGGCGGCGGUUUGGAGGAGCCCCUCCAUGAUUACUCUUCUGCAGUCACGUUUCCUGUUCUGUCAUCUUAGCUACCGUGAGCAGCUGCAAAGCUGAAGCUUGGAAAUGGCAGCCGCCGAAGAGGACCGCAGAGAGCGUAUCGACGUCUGUGGUGCCCACGUGUUCUUUUCCGUUGAGGAUGGAUUUUGCCCGCUCAUCUUCCAAAAGCUAAGUGUUGGGACUGGUGGUCGGGAGUAGUGAAAAACCUUUGGAACCGCAGGAGGCAAUUUGAAGUUAGCUUAGAGGAGAGGGCUGUAGCGGGACAGGCCGCUGGGAAGUAAAGGGAGAGGGUUUCUCCUCGGCAUCGCCCAACCCUUCACUGGGCAGGGCAGUUCUGACCUGUCUCUGCAUUCUCGCGAGCUUCGCGUCAUCGGCCUUCUUCGAGUCUCGAUGUCGUGGGCGAUCUUUUUGCCUGGGGAGCUCGCCUUUGGGUCCGGAGCAAUCGGCCCGGUCACUCGGUGGUUGUCGCCUCCUUCUCUAGGCCUACCGAGCUUCUUGAGCAUCCUCUUAGCGGCUUUGUCGCUAACUUCUCUUAAGGAGUUACGUUGCACUGUCGCGUGCUAUUGCCAUAGAGCUGCCUUUCCGUCGGCAUCAUCGGUCUCUGGCUCAUCUUGCGCUAGGAACCUUGGGUCCGUUAGGUGAAACUGCUGGGCGAUUUCGAGUUGUGUCUAUGUUAAGCGGUUUGUGUCUGUCAUGUUGUUUGUGUGCAUCGGCUUCUGUGUCACAGGGCUUUGUUACAUCUUGAUGCUUUAUUGGUGUUGUUCCGGGCCGUAUUGGCCAUACUCUACUCGCAUACAUUCCCGGAUCGGGCUUAUUCCCGCCUCUUUACCUUUUUACUUUUGGAGACUGGAGGAAGUACACAAGAUGUUCUCAUCUGUUUUCCUUCUCGGUUUCGGUACUGCCUUCUUUUCGCGUGCCAUUCCCUUGGACUUCUAUAGGGAGGGUAUCAGACCCUCCCCACGUGACUGCGGUAGUUCGGUAGGUUCUGUCGCCUCGAAGCCUAUUGGGCUCGAGAAUUAACCUUCCAGAGAGUCAUCUCGAGCCCUCGCAUCAUCUUUGCUUAUAUUUGGUGUGCGCCGCUCGGGGUCAGAGCCGCCCUGCCCCGGCACGUAGAGUCACGGUUAGGUAGAACAGUUACAAAACUUAAUGGUUUGUCUCUUUUCUAUGGGGUUUUGGGCAGAAAUUUGCGGGCUCUGCGUGGGGAUAACUCCUAGCUGUCGGCCGCUCGUGGACUGCCUCACGUUGUCUCGCAGGUCCCCGAGGCAGCUUCGGCUCUCCGCAGUCACCGAAGCUACUGAUUUUCCCGGAAUGUACCGUUCGACGUUGAGGAACGGCGGCCAGCAGGUUUUUUCAAACCUAACCCUAACCCUUUGCCAGUUUUGAGGGGACAACUGGGGGUGCCCUAGUUCCCGGCAGCUUUUGUCUGCGACGUUCACAAUUUUAGGAGGUGGAAUCCUGUUAUUGCCAAAAGCAAUAUCCCCUUUUGUGCCGUGGGCACCUGGCUGCGAACGAUGGCUCCUUCCUGCGGGAAGGAAAUCCUGGAAACCCGGUUUCUCAGGGACAGGUGAGAGGUAGCUCUCGAGGGGUCAAGUCCAGCCAGAGCCCUGAGCUGCCCAACUUCCUUUCCUGUGGAGAAGAACCAUCCUCCCAGCCGGGCCCCAGGUGCCGAAAUUUCUGCUCUGCCUCGGAAUUUAUGUACGGGCCGGGACCGCUCCCUCGUGAGAGACCGGUUGUCGGGGCGCGCGUAGAAGCGCUGCGAAAUCGAAAACAAAUGGAAAAUGGGAUUCUCUGACAACUGGUAUCCCUAACAUCCUGGAAAAGGCAGGUUUUCCUUCAAUUGAUACCCUUAAAAUUGCAAGUGAAGGGAGAUCCUCCCCGGUUUAAAUGCGGACAACAACAGAAAAAGGAAUUUUUCCAUUUAUUUAAACCCCUUUUUCUCGUUGUAUCGGCCGUUUUAUUCUGGAGGGGCU